rnacentral:ncRNA from 1 species
UUAUUUGAGAGUUUGAUCCUGGCUCAGGACGAACGCUGGCGGCGUGCCUAAUACAUGCAAGUUGAGCGAUGAAGAUUGGUGCUUGCACCAA